rnacentral:rRNA from 1 species
GACGAACGCUGGCGGCGUGCUUAACACAUGCAAGUCGAACGGAGCGAAUGAAAGCUUGCUUUUAUGAGCUUAGUGGCAAACGGGUGAGUAACACGUAGACAACCUGCCGACAGGAUGGGGACAACAUUCCGAAAGGAAUGCUAAUACCGAAUGAAGUCGAGGGAAGGCAUCUUCCUUCGAUGAAAGAUGGCCUCUGAACAUGCUAUCACCUGUCGAUGGGUCUGCGUCUGAUUAGCUAGUUGGUGAGGUAACGGCUCACCAAGGCGACGAUCAGUAGCCGGUCUGAGAGGAUGAACGGCCACAUUGGGACUGAGACACGGCCCAGACUCCUACGGGAGGCAGCAGUGGGGAAUCUUCCGCAAUGGGCGCAAGCCUGACGGAGCAACGCCGCGUGAGUGAAGAAGGUCUUCGGAUCGUAAAGCUCUGUUGAUGGGGACGAACGUACGGAGUGCAAAUAGUGCUCUGUAAA